AACGAACGCUGGCGGCAUGCCUAACACAUGCAAGUCGAACGAGAUCUUCGGGUCUAGUGGCGCACGGGUGCGUAACGCGUGGGAACCUGCCCUUAGGUUCGGAAUAACUCCCCGAAAGGGGUGCUAAUACCGGAUAAUGUCUUCGGACCAAAGAUUUAUCGCCUUUGGAUGGGCCCGCGUUGGAUUAGCUAGUUGGUAGGGUAAAAGCCUACCAAGGCGACGAUCCAUAGCUGGUCUGAGAGGAUGAUCAGCCACACUGGGACUGAGACACGGCCCAGACUCCUACGGGAGGCAGCAGUGGGGAAUAUUGGACAAUGGGUGAAAGCCUGAUCCAGCAAUGCCGCGUGAGUGAUGAAGGCCUUAGGGUUGUAAAGCUCUUUUACCCGGGAUGAUAAUGACAGUACCGGGAGAAUAAGCUCCGGCUAACUCCGUG
rnacentral:rRNA from 1 species